CUGGGUGUGGGGCAAUUGGGAGCCUACCUGGUUUGGAUCCAGGAUGUUGCAGGUUCGAGUCCUGCCACCCAGA
rnacentral:tRNA from 1 species